rnacentral:rRNA from 1 species
GACGAACGCUGGCGGCGUGCCUAAUACAUGCAAGUUGAGCGAUGAAGCUUGGUGCUUGCACCCAUUUGAAGAGCAGCGAACGGGUGAGUAACGCGUGGGGAAUCUGCCUUUGAGCGGGGGACAACAUUUGGAAACGAAUGCUAAUACCGCAUAACAACUUUAAACAUAAGUUUUAAGUUUGAAAGAUGCAAUUGCAUCACUCAAAGAUGAUCCCGCGUUGUAUUAGCUAGUUGGUGAGGUAAAGGCUCACCAAGGCGAUGAUACAUAGCCGACCUGAGAGGGUGAUCGGCCACAUUGGGACUGAGACACGGCCCAAACUCCUACGGGAGGCAGCAGUAGGGAAUCUUCGGCAAUGGACGAAAGUCUGACCGAGCAACGCCGCGUGAGUGAAGAAGGGUUUCGGAUCGUAAAACUCUGUUGGUAGAGAAGAACGUUGGUGAGAGUGGAAAGCUCAUCAAGUGACGGUAACUACACAGAAAGGGACGGCUAACUACGUG